AUGAUGAAACCGCGCGGUUCUACACUUUUACUCGACCGGUCCAGCUUUCAUGCUGGAUUACACAGAUCAGACGAUUAAACCCGGUCUGAGCCGGUUUAUCUCUCCUCUCGGAAUAAAAAAAAUCUGGAAGCUCCACAGAGAUUUGUACAUUAAUGGCGGUUCUGUCGUCUUCUUCUUCUUCUUCUUCUUAUUCGUCGGCGAUGCAGAAAGGCAUUGUUGUUACGGUACCAGUCCUGGUUCUAACUGCUUCGUUAUCGGCGGUUAUCUUCUUCAUCCUAUCGUCUUCAUUAUCUUCCUGCUCAUGUCCAUCAUCUAUAUCCGAUGCCAUCGUCGGUGAUGUGAGGUCGGAGGAGAGAGUUUCGACGUCUCAAGAGGACAUAGAUUGGGUUAAGGAUCUGAUUAGAUCGAACGGUUUGCAUAUGCACGAGAAUGUUCUCCGGAAAGGGAUUAAUCCUCGCACAAGGGAGCAGCAACUCCAGGAUCUGAUUCAGUACAAAGGUAUAUCGCAUUACGUAGGAGAUGAAGCAAGCAACCACACAGCUCUUCCAUGCCCUGGUGAGUUACUCGUUGAGGAGCAUCACAGCAACUACGGUGAGCCUUGGGCUGGUGGGCGUGACGUCUUUGAGUUCUUAGCCGAAGCGUCCCGGCUAAAACCCAACGCCAGAGUCCUCGAGAUAGGGUGCGGUACGCUCCGUGUUGGUCUGCAUUUCAUCCGUUACCUCGACCCUGGGAACUUCCACUGCCUUGAGAAAGACGAGCUCUCUCUGAUGGCUGCGUUGAGGUACGAGCUUCCUUCUCAAGGUCUUCUGCAUAAGCGGCCUCUUAUAGUCAGAGGGGAAGAUAUGGAGUUCAGCAAGUUCGGUUCGGGUGUGGCCUAUGAUCUAAUAUACGCUAGUGCGGUGUUCUUGCACAUGCCUGACGAGCUGGUUUGGAGUGGAGUCGAGAGGCUGGUUGAUAAGUUGAAGCCGUACGAGGGGAGAAUGUUUGUGUCGCAUAACAUAAAGUUUUGUACGCGUUUAGGAGGAGAGAAAUGCGCAGAGAGAUUAGCGAGAUUGGGACUCGAGUCCCUGGGAGACAGACGCAUGAUAGUUUGUUGUUUAAUCACUACGAGAUCUGGUUCGGGUUUAGACGGAUCAAAGGAUAAAGUUUAGUUUAUGAUUUUGAUCCUACACGGCAUGUAACGGCUCCAUCCUAAGAGAAGGCUGGUUCGAUAGAUGAUUGUGUUGUGGAGUAAGAGUUACUACGAGUCUCUGGAGCAAGAGAGCUCACAAAGCAGUGAUUGAUAUAUUAGCCAAUUGAUUGGAGAUUGUUAUAUAUAUAUAUAUAUAUAUAUUUGAUUUGUUUGUUUCAAAGAGUUGUUAUAUUGUUGUGUGUUUGUAAUUCUGUUUGUAGUUGGAGUUACAUUUAAGAAAAGAAUGUUAUACUUGAGCAUUGCUGUUUGAAUG